rnacentral:lncRNA from 1 species
CUGGGGUUCAGUCUGCCGCUGCAAAUACCAAAAGCUGUCCUCAUUGAGUCAUCCCUCCCAGAGCAGGAAGAGCAGAGAUAAAACAGCAUGUAAGCAUCUCUGCAGUUGCUGUCCCCAGAGCCCACUUCCUGGAUAUUGCCAGCUGCCUGGACCAACCUUUCCGAAAGAUCAGCCAGGUCACAGUGAGGGUCAAAGCAGGAGGCCACUGGAGGCUCCAAGGGCUCUGAAAUGUUGAGAACUUCCCUGCAGGUACCAGCGAAGAGGGCAAGAACACAGCACUACUUCCUUGGAUACUGUUUCCCUCCUCAGAGGGGUUUUCUGAGCUGCCCUGGGUCCUGUGAGGAAGAUCUCCCCUUCCUGUAAAGACACCAGUCCUACUGGAUCAGGGCCCACCCGUGUGACUUCACUUUUACUUGAGUACCUCUCACAGACCCUAACUCCAAAUCAGGUCACUUGCUGAGGUACUGCAUGUGAAGACUUUGACAUUUGAAUUUUGAGGGGGCCACCGUUUAACCUGAACCACCAAGGACAGAGCCAAAGACCCUGGGUGACAGGCCCAGAACAGGACCUGGUGGAGGCUCUUCUUUAGGGGAGAGAGGGAAAUGGGAGCCACCACUGGCAGAGCCUGAAGGCAGGGCAGCCAGAAAGAAGCUGUGGGAGUCCCCACCAUGGAAGACCCUGCCGAGCAUCCUGUGUCUCCUGAAGCAGACCCUGACAUGAGGACUGGGGGCACGUGUUUAUUAAGGGCGAUCCCCGGAAGGAGGAGAUAACCAGGCAGAAGUCCUAGCAGAGUAUGCCCACGCUGGUUAGUGCUGCUGCAAAGAUGAGCCGAAGACCAUGAGAGACCUCCAGGUGGUCCUUCUGGGGAGAAGAAAUGGGUUUUGGCCCCAAAUCCUUCUGCUGCAUUUUUCCCCUAUCCCUGGGAAGCCAUGAGACCUCAAACCUGUGUUCCCAAGGAGGCGAGCUGCUGUUCCCAGGUGAUGAUAUGAUGUGCUUGGGGAAAGUAAGUGGCUGCCAGACAUGGCUGAGAGCUGUUGUCACUGCCGUCAAGUGCAUGUCUCCAAGCCAUAUCACACGGCGUCCCUCGAUGUGAGGCCACAUGGCAAGUGGGCCGUGGAUCUCCCUCUGCCCUUUGCAAGCACGUAAGACAGCAGAUUUUGCAGAUACCUUGUGGCGCAGGGGAAUUUCCUUUGGCCAGGUCUGAAGAAAUAAAGCAGCAGGCACCGAGAACAAAGCCAAGGCUUUCAAAAGACAAGGAGCCAAAAAACUUACUCAAAAUAAAAGUAGUUU